GAGGGUUUGAUCCUGGCUCAGAUUGAACGCUGGCGGCAGGCCUAACACAUGCAAGUCGAGCGGAUGAAGGGAGCUUGCUCCUGGAUUCAGCGGCGGACGGGUGAGUAAUGCCUAGGAAUCUGCCUGGUAGUGGGGGAUAACGUCCGGAAACGGGCGCUAAUACCGCAUACGUCCUGAGGGAGAAAGUGGGGGAUCUUCGGACCUCACGCUAUCAGAUGAGCCUAGGUCGGAUUAGCUAGUUGGUGGGGUAAAGGCCUACCAAGGCGACGAUCCGUAACUGGUCUGAGAGGAUGAUCAGUCACACUGGAACUGAGACACGGUCCAGACUCCUACGGGAGGCAGCAGUGGGGAAUAUUGGACAAUGGGCGAAAGCCUGAUCCAGCCAUGCCGCGUGUGUGAAGAAGGUCUUCGGAUUGUAAAGCACUUUAAGUUGGGAGGAAGGGCAGUAAGUUAAUACCUUGCUGUUUUGACGUUACCAACAGAAUAAGCACCGGCUAACUUCGUGCCAGCAGCCGCGGUAAUACGAAGGGUGCAAGCGUUAAUCGGAAUUACUGGGCGUAAAGCGCGCGUAGGUGGUUCAGCAAGUUGGAUGUGAAAUCCCCGGGCUCAACCUGGGAACUGCAUCCAAAACUACUGAGCUAGAGUACGGUAGAGGGUGGUGGAAUUUCCUGUGUAGCGGUGAAAUGCGUAGAUAUAGGAAGGAACACCAGUGGCGAAGGCGACCACCUGGACUGAUACUGACACUGAGGUGCGAAAGCGUGGGGAGCAAACAGGAUUAGAUACCCUGGUAGUCCACGCCGUAAACGAUGUCGACUAGCCGUUGGGAUCCUUGAGAUCUUAGUGGCGCAGCUAACGCGAUAAGUCGACCGCCUGGGGAGUACGGCCGCAAGGUUAAACUCAAAGGAAUUGACGGC
rnacentral:rRNA from 1 species